rnacentral:rRNA from 1 species
AGGACGAACGCUGGCGGCGUGCUUAACACAUGCAAGUCGAGCGGAAAGGCCCUUCGGGGUACUCGAGCGGCGAACGGGUGAGUAACACGUGAGCAACCUGCCCUUAGCUUCGGGAUAGCUCCGGGAAACCGGAAUUAAUACCGAAUAUGACUGCGGCUGACAUCAGCCACGGUGGAAAGUUUUUCGGCUAGGGAUGGACUCGCGGCCUAUCAGCUAGUUGGUGAGGUAACGGCCCACCAAGGCGACG